UUAGUCAUUCUCUCUCAACAUUUUACAGACAUGGACUCUCACCUCGCAUGUCUAUCUUAGCAGUAUAGCCUUUAGUCAGUCUAGACAAUUCCUGCAUAUAGAUUCACUUGGGUCUAUGUUUGGGGUUUCCCGCUCAUUCAAAUAAAGUUAUUUUCCUUGUAAGUCAACUCAAAUCUAGUGCUCCUCUCAUUUUCAGCUAUUAAUUGGUUUGCUGCUCCUGAGUCCUGUGCUAUUAGCAGCACAAGAAAAAGG
rnacentral:lncRNA from 1 species